rnacentral:rRNA from 1 species
UACGAAGGGGGCUAGCGUUGCUCGGAAUUACUGGGCGUAAAGCGCACGUAGGCGGAUCCUUAAGUCGGUGGUGAAAUCCUGAAGCUCAACUUCAGAACUGCCUUCGAUACUGGGGACCUUGAGUUCGGGAGAGGUGAGUGGAACUGCGAGUGUAGAGGUGAAAUUCGUAGAUAUUCGCAAGAACACCAGUGGCGAAGGCGGCUCACUGGCCCGAUACUGACGCUGAGGUGGCGAAAGCGUGGGGAGCAAACA